GGGAAUUCUGGUUACCUGAAUAACAACAGCAGGUACUGUAUACCAAAGAACCCUAAUAAAGGGGAAAUGCAGAGAGAGCUCUGGGGAGAAUCCUGAAAACCGAAUCAUGGUGUGUGUGCAGCCUCAUUUCUUCAUCGUCUCUAUUUGGUGACCCUGACGUGAUGUGCGUUACGGGACUUUUCAAUGACCACGACCCAACAAGGGUAACGGAGUUAGUUCUGCCUGGGAGAAGUCUGUCUCCACUUGAAUUCAUUGGCCGCACUCUAAUACUGACAAGAUCCAUUUCUCAGUGUAAGAUUCUUCUUUAUAUCCCUGGGCUAUUCCAUCAUAAUUUGGAGACCAAGUGAUCAUAUUUUAGGUGGAAGGCAGCAGGGAGCACCAGGUUCUGAGGUGCCUGAGGAACAUGAAGGAAUCAUCAGCAAGGCACUACAUUCCUAUAGAGGCUGAGCAAUGGAAGGAAGAUCUCCUCUCCAGCAAUUCCAGAAACUGUUUCCCUUUCUGCUGCAACUCUACAAGCCUAAGAAUUAACUGGACAGUUCUUCAGUCAAAAGAAAAGUACUUCUGCUUCACACUUUCACUUGUCCCAACCAAGGCAUCCUUACUGCCUAUUUUUCAUUACUUCUUCCAUCAGACAUCAAAGACGACAUUAAUA